UCUGAUUGAAGGCUAUCGUUGCUCUGGUAGUGUUAUUGUCCUGCUAGUGAUUAUUGUUCCCAUCAUCCUGAAAUACCAUUCUUGACUUGCUGGUGGAAUUCACUGUGGAUAUGGCUUCAAAAUGACAGCAAAGCAAACAGCUGUGUGAUUCCAGUGGAACAAAAAGUGUAUAUAGCUUCGAAAUGUUCCUCUACCCUCACCCCAGAAGGCAAGUGCCCAGUACUGUCAAGAACAUUCAAAGGACCUGGGAACUUCAUAGCCAAUUCUGAUAUCAAAAGCAAAUUCAAAACCCCAUUGUUGCUUUCUCAGGGGAAACAUCCUUUGUAACCAGAUACUUGCCAGUAUUUUUUUCUUUUUACACACACACACACACACACACACACACACACACACACACACAUAUAUAUGAGAAAGAGAGAUUCUAUUUAUAAUUUAAAUAAUUUUCUCUUAGUUGCUGAUAGUGGAGGAGGAAAAUGGGAGGGUUUAAUUGUAUAUAUGUUAUCAUUUAAAAAAUCCUAACUAUUCUGUUGAAUAACUGAGGAUGCCAACUUUCUCAUUUGUGAAAAACAUGGUUUUGUAGACAUUGUGUAUUUGUUAAGGGAUCCAGAAGCUCUAUGUUCUUGGUAUUAUUGCUUAUGAUUGUGACAUAAAUGCUCUAGUAAAUUACUAUUUUUGACUGUAUGUAGUUCUGAGUAAAUAAUUGAGGUAAAAGAACCACUUAUUUUAA